CAAUAGCGUAUAUUAAAGUUGUUGCAGUUAAAAAGCUCGUAGUUGGAUUUCUGGCUCUUGGUGUGGCGGUCCACCUUGCGGUGAGCACUGCAGCGCCGGGUCAUCCUCUCGGAGUUGGGGGGGUGCACUUAGUUGUGUGCUUCUUGGAUUCGGGACCUUUACUUUGAAAAAAUUAGAGUGUUCAAAGCAGGCGAUUGCUUGAAUACAUUAGCAUGGAAUAAUGGAAUAGGACUUUGGUUCUAUUUUGUUGGUUUCUAGGACCGAAGUAAUGAUUAAUAGGGACAGUUGGGGGCAUUAGUAUUUAAUUGUCAGAGGUGAAAUUCUUGGAUUUAUGAAAGACUAACUACUGCGAAAGCAUUUGCCAAGGAUGUUUUCAUUAA
rnacentral:rRNA from 1 species